rnacentral:lncRNA from 1 species
CUUCUUAUACCAGUGCUCUACAUGUUGAUCAGGAUCUUGAUUCAAGUAAUAAUAAGCACAAAUAGCAUGAGGGCAAGGAAUACCUCUCAACAUCCACAACCUACAGUCACAAUGUUUCUUCUCCAAGUCAACAACAAAUGAAUAUUCCCCCUCACUAAUUUCAAAACCAUUCAACCCAUUCCAUUGAACAUUACAAUUAUUUGAAUACUCCUUGUUUCUAACAUUACAGUUCUUUGAAUACUCCUUGUUUCUUUCUAGUAUUGCCCUUGCCAUAGGUGCAAUGUCUGAUAUCCAUGUUUCAGCAAAUUUGAUCAUGUCUAUAUGUCUGUUCAUCAUUUUAUGCCUAAUAUCCUCUAACAUGGUAAUAAUUGAUUUAUGUCUAGCAGCUAAGAUCCAGGAAUUGAAAGUCUCACACAUGUUAUUUUCUACAACAUCACACUUGGAGUGAGUUUGGAAAAAGGCCCUAGACCAAUUUCUGGGAUCAUAAUGUAGCAAGUCCUCUGUUAUUUCCUUCUUACCUAGCUUGGACAUUGCAUGAACUUCUUCUCCAAACAUGACUUCAAAGGAGGCCUUUGAACAUCUCCAAAACUGUUUCCUUCUUUCUUCUCCUUUCCAGUUCACAUGCCAGUUACUCCAUAUAUGUCUAGCACACAUCCUUUUCUCAGCAUUUGGUAACA